CUCAUUCCUCCAGAAGAUAUUUAAGUUUUACCACUUCUGGUGAAGGAGUGUCAGUCAGAAAACAGCAUCGUUCAUUUGGAUUCUGCACGCC